rnacentral:rRNA from 1 species
GGUCAAGUUAUUAAGGGCACACGGUGGAUGUCUUGGCGUCGAGAGGCGAUGAAGGACGUUGGAACCUGCGAUAUGCCCAGGGGAGCUGGUAACCGAGCUUUGAUCCUGGGAUCUCCGAAUGGGGCAACCCGGCCCGUAAGGGUCAUCCGUAUCUGAAUGCAUAGGGUACGGAAGCGAACGCGGUGAACUGAAACAUCUCAGUAACCGUAGGAAAGGAAAGCAACAGCGACUCCGUAAGUAGCGCCGAGCGAAAGCGGAUAAGCCGGAAUGCAUUGCGAACUGCCUGGAAAGGCAGACGAUACAAGGUGAUAGUCCUGUAGCAAUGUUGCCGGUGAGGCCUAGAGUAGGUCCGGGCUCGUGAAACCCGGUCUGAACAUGGGGGGACCACCCCCCAAGCCUAAGUACUCCUCGACGACCGAUAGUGAACCAGUAACGCGAGUGAACGAUGAAAAGCACCCCGAUAAGGGGAGUGAAAAGUACCUGAAACCGUGUGCUUACAAGCGGUCGGAGC